rnacentral:tRNA from 1 species
UGGCUCAAGCGGGAUUUGAACCUGCGACCUUGGGCUUAUGAAUCCCCUGCUCUAACCACUGAGCUACUGAGC